UGAUGAAUUGGUUGCUAAUUAUGUGUUGAUGUCUGCAAUUUUUGUAUUUAGAUGAUUAGAAGAUGGUAUUGUAAUGAGAAUUGUUGCAUAUGAAUAUGAAAUAGAUGGUGAAGAUGUUUGUUCUGUUGUGUGUGUAGGAAGAGUGAAUUUGAUAGGAGAGCCCAUCACCAAUGAAAGAUACUUAGUGUUGUAGAGAAACUUGAUAACUAUAGGUUUGGUGUUGUUAUGUUGGUUUUGUUGUCUAGAAGAGCUGAUGUGUUAAAUGGACUAGAUGAGACUCAUAUAUCAUGUAUUUGAGUCGCAGAAUUGGCUAUAAGCUCUCGUGGAUUAGAUGCUGGAGAUCUGAGAAUUGCUGAACAUAUAACUCUUAAGAAGCUUGAGAACAGAAUCAAGAUUCACCUCGUCAUGUAACGUGUUGGCUCGUUGUAGAGAUUAAUAAGUGGACAAAAGAGAAGGAGGUUACAGUGGGCUUUACAAAUGAACAAACGAAUUUCUUUUAUGUAUGCAUAGCUUUUGGAGAAGUGAAAUUAGAGUCUAAGAUAUAUUCCAUUAAACCCGUAAUUAUUGUUUGUAAUCGCUAACUACUUCUGAUUUGGUUGUGAUGGUUCUUCUUUCAUUGUGUUAAUACUUAUGUAUGUUACUGUGUUAAUAUGUA